AGAGAUGCUUUGGUGCCUUCGGGAACUCUGAGACAGGUGCUGCAUGGCUGUCGUCAGCUCGUGUUGUGAAAUGUUGGGUUAAGUCCCGCAACGAGCGCAACCCUUAUCCUUUGUUGCCAGCGGUUCGGCCGGGAACUCAAAGGAGACUGCCAGUGAUAAACUGGAGGAAGGUGGGGAUGACGUCAAGUCAUCAUGGCCCUUACGAGUAGGGCUACACACGUGCUACAAUGGCGCAUACAAAGAGAAGCGACCUCGCGAGAGCAAGCGGACCUCAUAAAGUGCGUCGUAGUCCGGAUUGGAGUCUGCAACUCGACUCCAUGAAGUCGGAAUCGCUAGUAAUCGUAGAUCAGAAUGCUACGGUGAAUACGUUCCCGGGU
rnacentral:rRNA from 1 species